AGUGAGGAAUAUUGGGCAAUGGAGGCAACUCUGACCCAGCCAUGUCGCGUGCAGGAAGACAGUUCUAUGAAUUGUAAACUGCUUUUAUACGGGAAGAAACCGGGGGACGUGUCCCCCUUUGCCUGUACCGUACGAAUAAGCAUCGGCUAACUCCGUGCCAGCAGCCGCGGUAAUACGGAGGAUGCGAGCGUUAUCCGGAUUCAUUGGGUUUAAAGGGUGCGUAGGCGGAAUAAUAAGUCAGGGGUGAAAGUUUGCGGCUCAACCGUAAAAUUGCCUUUGAUACUGUUAUUCUUGAGUACACGCGAGGUAUGCGGAAUGUGAUGUGUAGCGGUGAAAUGCUUAGAUAUAUCACAGAACACCGAUUGCUAAGGCAGCAUACUAGAGUGUCACUGACGCUGAUGCACGAAAGCGUGGGUAUCGAACAGGAUUAGAUACCCUGGUAGUCCACGCCGUAAACGAUGGUUACUAGCUGUUUGCGAUACAUAGCAAGUGGCAAAGCGAAAGCAUUAAGUAACCCACCUGGGGAGUACGUUGGCAACGAUGAAACUCAAAGGAAUUGACGGGGGCCCGCACAAGCGGUGGAACAUGUGGUUUAAUUCGAUGAUACGCGAGGAACCUUACCUGGACUUAAAUGUAGAUUGCAUAGAGUAGAGAUACUCUUUUCUUCGGACUAUUUACAAGGUGCUGCAUGGUUGUCGUCAGCUCGUGCCGUGAGGUGUCGGGUUAAGUCCCAUAACGAGCGCAACCCCUAUCGUUAGUUGCCAUCAGGUCAAGCUGGGGACUCUAACGAGACUGCCGGUGUAAACCGCGAGGAAGGUGGGGAUGACGUCAAAUCAGCACGGCCCUUACGUCCAGGGCUACACACGUGUUACAAUGGCCGGUACAAAGGGCAGCUACCCCGCGAGGGGAUGCGAAUCUCAAAAACCGGUCACAGUUCGGAUCGGAGUCUGCAACCCGACUCCGUGAAGCUGGAAUCGCUAGUAAUCGCGCAUCAGACAUGGCGCGGUGAAUACGU
rnacentral:rRNA from 1 species